rnacentral:rRNA from 1 species
AUUGAACGCUGGCGGCAGGCUUAACACAUGCAAGUCGAGCGGGGAAAGGUAGCUUGCUACUUAACCUAGCGGCGGACGGGUGAGUAAUGCUUAGGAAUCUGCCUAUUAGUGGGGGACAACAUCUCGAAAGGGAUGCUAAUACCGCAUACGUCCUACGGGAGAGAGCAGGGGACCUUCGGGCCUUGCGCUAAUAGAUGAGCCUAAGUCGGAUUAGCUAGUUGGUGGGGUAAAGGCCUACCAAGGCGACGAUCUGUAGCGGGUCUGAGUGGAUGAUCCGCCACACUGGGACUGAGACACGGCCCAGACUCCUACGGGAGGCAGCAGUGGGGAAUAUUGGACAAUGGGGGGAACCCUGAUCCAGCCAUGCCGCGUGUGUGAAGAAGGCCUUUUGGUUGUAAAGUACUUUAAGCGAGGAGGAGGCUACCGAGAUUAAUACUCUUGGAUAGUGGACGUUACUCGCAGGAUAAGCACCGGCUAACUUCGUGCCAGCCGCCGCAGUAACAC